AUACAUGCAGUCGCACGGUAGCACAGGAUAGCUUGCUUCUCUGGGUGGCGAGUGGCGGACGGGUGAAGAAUACAUCGGAAUCUACUCUGUCGUGGGGGAUACCGUAGGGAACCUUACCCUAAUCCCGCAUACGACCUACGGGUGAAAGCCGGGGACCUUCGGCCCUUGCGCGAUUGAAUGAGCCGAUGUCUGAUUAGCUACUUGGCGGGUUAAAGGCCCACCAAGGCGACUAUCCGUAUCUGGUCUGAAAGGAUGAUCAGCCUCACUGGAACUGAGACACGGUCCAAACUCCUACGGGAGGCCGUAGUGUGGAAUAUUGGACAAUGGGCGCAAGCCUGAUCCACCCAUACCGCGUGGGUGAAGAAGGCCUUCGGGUUGUAAAGCCCUUUUGUUGGGAAAGAAAUCCAUCUGGCUAAUACCCGGUUGGGAUGACGGUACCCAAAGAAUAAGCACCGGCUAACUUCGUGCCAACAGCCGCGGUAAUACGAAGGGUGCAAUCGUUACUCGGAAUUACUGGGCGUAAAGCGUGCGUAGGUGGUCGUUUAAGUCCGUUGUGAAAGCCCUGUGCUCAUCCUGGGAACUGCAGUGGAUACUGGGCGACUAUAAUGUGGUAGAGGGUAUCGGAAUUCCUGGUGUAGCAGUGAAAUGCGUACAGAUCAUGAGGAACAUCCAUGGCGACGGCAGCUACCUGGAUCAACAUUGACUCUGAGGCACGAAAGCGUGGAGAGCAAACACUAUUACAUACCCUGGUACUCCACGCCCUAAACGAUGCAUACUGGAUGUUGGGUGCAUUUUGGCUCGCACUAUCGAAGCUAUCGCGCUAUGUCCGCAUCUUGGGCGAGUACGGGUCCAAGAACUGAAUCUCUAAGGAACUGACGGCGGGCACGCACACGGCGGUGGAGUAUGUUGGUUUAAAUUCGAUCGCCACCGCUA
rnacentral:rRNA from 1 species